UACGGGGGGAGCAAGCGUUGUUCGGAUUUACUGGGCGUAAAGGGCGCGUAGGCGGUCGUGACAAGUCACUUGUGAAAUCUCCGGGCUUAACUCGGAACGGUCAAGUGAUACUGUCGGACUAGAGUACAGAAGGGGCAACUGGAAUUCUCGGUGUAGCGGUGAAAUGCGUAGAUAUCGAGAGGAACACCUGCGGCGAAGGCGGGUUGCUGGGCUGAUACUGACGCUGAGGCGCGAAAGCUAGGGGAGCAAACGGG
rnacentral:rRNA from 1 species